AAGUUGAAAUGGUAUGUUGGUGGUUUGUGCAGGAGCUCAGAGGGCGAUCCAGGUGGGGCGCGUGAGGCAGCCCCAAUUCCUGUCCUCUCCCGGUGCAAUGAAGACGAAGAAAACAGAAAAUGGGACAUCACCCCUCGCUCCGGAGCCCUGAGCAGCUGUUCCACAGCGGACACCAAAGGGGCCAAGGGGCUUGAGGGGGCUGGUCAGCAGCAGCUAAGAUGUCCCAGCCUUGCGGUCCAUGGUCAGGGAAGCAGACCACAGAGCCAGCCAGGUCGACCUGGCGUGGAGCCUAACCCCAUCUGGAGAUGGUGUCCCAGAACCAGUCUGGAAACAAAGCAUGUGGCUGAGCUGUUACUAUUUAAAACUGCUUCACAUUUCUAAAGUGCCAACAAGGAAUCACAGGUUCUUAAGGAGAAUUUCUUGGCAGUGACAUAAUAAAAGCAUUUCAGAAGGAUGAGCCUGUCAAAAGCAUUCUAAAUAGAUCAUUAAGAGAGAGAGACUGGAGUGAGGAAAGGGGGACAAAUAAAAGAGGCCCCCGAGAUGCCCUGGAAACGGGGCCCAGAGGCAAGGCAAGAAUUCCAGAUGAUGCCAGAAGAAGGCUGAGCCACUGACAGAACUGGGGAGGACCAGAACGAGAGCCAGCUCUGAUGGAAAAGAUUCUACAUUUAGGGGAAGGAGGCUGAUGUUUAGGAGGAGGCUGAAGAUAGAAGACUAGACAUCUGUGUGAGGUUGAUGCUGGAAACAGAUUUAGGCAUCAUUAAUGCCGAGAUAAAGAUAGAAGCUAUGAAAAAGGAUGAGUACACCAAGGGUGAGAGUCUUAUGAGAAAACUCAAGGUAACUGGCCUCCAACAGAGAAGGCACCUGGCCUCCAAAUUCCAUUUCCCCACCACAGCAUAGAGUCAUUGCCGAGGAAGGGGCUUCCCCGCCGUGAACGUCUGAUGCCAACUCCCCUGGCAUCUAGAAGUUGUCUCCUAUGGAGAAUGAGCGGAAGCGAGAUGCGUCACAUCCAGGCCAAAACCUUAAAGCAGACGUGCCCUGCAUUCUCUUUUUCCCCUUCGGCUGUGGCGGUAACAUUGAGUGGGAUGGUGGGGCCACAGAAUGGAAGGCUCCUGGCUCCCUGGCUAGAGGAAAACCACCUGCCACUGUGGGUUAAAACAUGGGUGAGAAAUGGACUUCUCGGAGUUUCCAUUGUGGCCUAGCAGUUUAUGAACCUCACUAGUAUCCAUGAGGACGCAGGUGGAAGGUGAACGGCCGGGCGCUGGGGACAGGGGAGCAGGAUGUUCGGCUGAGGAAAGAAGGAGGUGACGAGAGAACAGAAGAAUUCCAAAGGGAAGGGUCACAGAAAUCCAGGCGGCAGCGGCCUGGAGCAGAAAAGCAGCGUUCGGCAGCACUGAAUGUUCAACGACAGGCGCCGAGGAGGGAACAGGAGGGCAGAAAACAGGAGACCGAAAGCAUUAAGACGACGGCGAGCAACCUUCCAGAAACAAAAUGCAGACCCGGGCAGGCAUUUCAGAAGACCCGAGACCACGUGGCCAGUGUUCCUUUCUUUCCCCUGGGUCGGCUGUUGGGCUUUCCUUGCUGGCUCUGCAGGAGCCUGAGCUUCAGCGCAUCCCCAGAGGACUGCAGAGCACCGUCCAAAACCAAUGGAAAAGUGACGUGAACCCGGCCAUGAGGUAAUGCCGUGGAAAAGCCCUGCGCUAGGGCUGCUUUACGAGAACCACCUCCUGACACAUCUGGCACUGCAAGCCCAAUAGGACGCACCGGGAGGGAUUUUUGUUUGUCAGAGGAAAGGAAAAAAAAAAAAAAAA
ensembl:lncRNA